UACGUAGGGUCCGAGCGUUGUCCGGAAUUACUGGGCGUAAAGAGCUCGUAGGUGGUUUGUCGCGUUGUUCGUGAAAACUCACAGCUCAACUGUGGGCGUGCGGGCGAUACGGGCAGACUGGAGUACUGCAGGGGAGACUGGAAUUCCUGGUGUAGCGGUGGAAUGCGCAGAUAUCAGGAGGAACACCGGUGGCGAAGGCGGGUCUCUGGGCAGUACUGACGCUGAGGAGCGAAAGCGUGGGAGCGAACAGG
rnacentral:rRNA from 1 species